rnacentral:rRNA from 1 species
ACUUUCUUAUCGGUCUGAUUCUGCCUCACUUGGCAGGAUGAGUUUCUCUUAAGUAAAGGAGGGAUCGAUGAAUUCGGAGUAAAAUUCUAUGUGCAUAUUGAUUAUGACAAUAUGUUUAUAAGUCUUGACUAAUUACGUGCCAGCAGUCGCGGCAAUACGUAUGAGACGAGUGUUAUUCAUCUUUAAUAGGUUUAAAGGGUACUUAGACGGUUUAAUUAGCCAAAGCGGUACAAUUAAUCUAGAGUUUUAUAUAAGAAGGUAGUACUCUUGAGUGUAGUGAUGAAAUACUUUGAUACCUUGGGGACUGGUAAAGGCGAAGGCAACCUUUUAUCUUAAAACUGACGUCAAAGGACGAAGGCUUAGAGCACUAACGGGAUUUGGUACCCCAGUAGUCUUUGCAGAAAAUUCUGAAUGUCAUAGGUUAGGUAAUAGAUAUCCAGGCUAGAGGGUGGAUGUUUAAUAUCUUCCACUUUAAGUACAGGUUGAUAACAGUAUAAUACUAUGGUCGGGCGCCAUGCAUCUUCAUCAGAAGAUGCAUGGCGCCCGGUAUGUGUUAACUAUGUAUUAAUUGUAUAUAGUACAUAUGUACUAAGUAUGGUUGCUACCCUGGAUAGUUUAGUCUAUAAAUGAAAGUGUAAGCAUUUCACCUCAAGAGUAGUGCGGCAACGUUGAAACUGAAAUCACUGCGCAUGACCAGACGAUGCGAGACAGUGAUAGC